UAAGAAAUAAUUAAAUUACUAGUCUUAAAUUAAAACAAAUAUGCAAUAGGGUUUAUCAUUCAUCCGAUACAAUAGAAAAACCUAGCUUAGCAUUCUAUUAAAUUAUACAAGAAAUAUUGAAAAAAAAUCACCUGAAAAGAAGAAAUAAUGAAGAAAGUGAAAAAAUUCACUUUCUUGACUUGAAUCUUGUAAAGGGUGAAUAUUCUUCAAUAGUCUUGUGUAAUCCGCCUUGAUGUUGAUGCUUAGCCUUGUUCUUCAUCUUCAAAAUACGUAGAAACUGUGAUUUUUAUGUCUAAGAGAGGUCCUCCCACAUUCUGGACAAGUUCUAGUUUAUAUAGACACCCCAAAAAUGUCUUCCCAUGUAAAGUUUAAACGAAAUAAGGAAACAAAAAUCACGCCAAGUUUAACACUAUGCGACCACAUGGAGUAAGGAGGUGGGGCUGCGUAGGAGGAUUUUCAUUAGCUAAAAUGUGUUUUGAAGGAGUAGUUGCGACUGCAAGUGAUUUUAACUAUGCGGCCACAUAGUAUAAGCAACAUUUUUCGUCGAACAAUUUCAGUAGUUUAGCCAUAUCUUUCACUUCUGAUAUCCAAUUAGGUGAUUCAAAUUACGUCGAAAAGAUAACUCGAAAGGCUAAAAUCUUCCAAGUUUAUCAUUUUUUUCAAUUCAAAUGUUUGCUAUGCUAAAAAUGAGUCUUAAACUAAGACUGAAAAUUGGAAGAAUAUUUUUUUCAACUGAAAGUUGAUGUAUGAUAAUAUUUGACUAUACUUCAUCCAUUCGACUUAUUUUCCUAUACAAUUGACCCUUAACACUCAAAUCUUCAUAAUGAAGUUCAACACAAUUUUUAAGUACUUGCACUUAGUUCCUGAACUUUAGAUUUGCUUCAUUUUGACCAUUUUUCAUUCUUUCUUCUGAUUCCUUAUCCAAACGUGAGUUUUCAUAAUAAAAGUAAUAAAUAAUAAAUUAGGCACUUAUCCUCUAAAAAAUAACAAAAUAUCAUCAUUUAGAAUCCCAAAUAAGUGUACAAACUACACUUAUCAAAUCCUCAAACUUAGAUCUUUAUUUAUCUUCAAACAAAACUGAAACUCAACUAUAUUACAAACACACAAAUAUGCGAAAAUAUUUAGCUAGCUAACCCUACAUUAAAUCAUGACAUUGAAUCUAAGCACAACUUCAAGAUCAAAAUAUAAGAAUUAAAGUCUACUUUUCCAAUCUAAAGUCGACGUGUGUGAAGAAUUAAACAUAGUUUCAUGAAUUCAAAAUAUCAUGAUCACUUUCCACAAAGCCUUCAGUUUCAUCUUCCAUUCUAUUAUCACUAUGUCCUUCAUUCUCCAGUUCUUCCUCACCCAUUUUCGAGUUCUCUUCAGCCUGAUUUGGUUGGAAGUACCAACUACAACUUUAUACGUGAGUGUUUCCUCAAUUUACGACCACACCUCCUCUACAUUUUUAGGCAAAUAGUCACCAUUGUUCGUCUCACCCAAACCACCUUCAUCCACAUCAAACAUCAGGAUGUAGCAACCUUCUAUGGUAUUUUCACCCCCUUCAUUAGGGCACUACUCUCUAGGACCUCAGGCAAUGGUUCUUAGUAUGGUCUUUUGAGGUAAUGCAUAUGUCUAGUUAGGCACAACUACAUAAUUCUCUAGCAACCUAUGACCUUUAAGGUCCUUCAACAUCUUUCUCACAUCUGAUUCACUACGUAACCUCCUCAAAACACUACCAAACUCCUUUCCUACAGGUCGAAGUAAACUCCAAAAGGCCCACAAAUAUACUCAAGAUCUCGAACUAUUCCCUAUUGAAAUAAUCAGCUUUUACAAAGUCCACAAACAUCACACUACCAUUCGUACUUCACAUUAUUUGGAUUAUCGAAGAAUGCACCACUAGUGUAUAUAGCUAUAAUGAAGUAGUCUGUGUAUCCAGCUGGACGAUAAUGACAAGGGUUAGUACAAGAAUCAAUUCAAGACUCUUAGCAAACAACAUGCACAUACCUUUUACAACAAAUUCCAACAGUAACAUGUAAAAAAAUUGAAUUAAAAAAAAACAACAUUUCUCAAAUAGCAACAAUAGAGAAACUUACCAUACAAAUGAGCUUCUUCAAACCAUUUGAGUCUUGGAUCCUCCAUUCUCGAUAAUCACAAUGAAAUAGUAAUUAAAAAAAAAAACUAAUAUCAAGAUAUAAUUCCAAAAUUUCACAAAUUUCACGCACGCAUUUAAAAAAAGAAAACACCACUUCAACAAUUUAUUGUCACACUUUGGCUGAAGAAUGGCAAUUGUUGGAACUUUAGAAGUGUUGAAAAAAACCUCGAGUAUCAUGGGUGGAGUAUAAUCGGAUCUUGAAAUGUGGGUUAACAGCCUAAAGAAUCUCACGUUUCAUGUCGGUUCGUUUUGCACAAAACUCCCCUACUGGUUUUAGUUGGGUUUUAUUAAAGAGAGAAAUAAGAAAUGAUGCAUUUGUCCAUUCUGAUUUAUCUAUUUUCCCCUUUUUAUUGGAAUUUAACAGUAAAUCUGACGGAUCUUGACAGCAUUGAUGUUUAUCACACAAAAGGUUUCAAAUGUGAGGGAUUUCUGAGAUUUUCAAUAGGUAGGGGAUAUAUCACACAUAAAAACGUUUAUGGGGUGGUUUUAUACUAUCAAUCCUUUAUAGAUUGAGAACUAAUGGUGUAGUUUGUUUAUUUAAUUAUUGUUUUUGAUUCGUCACUUUCAACUUUCCUUUUAGCUAACAAAACAACUGGACUUUCAAAUUAUGGAGGCAAUCUAACGUAUAUGAUUAGAAGGAGAUUCAAUUGAAUUAGAUAAGAUAGAAUUCUCAUUAAAAAUAUGGAAAGAUGGUAUUAAUUCAAAAACCUUAAGAACAUAAACACAAUCUUUGACGAUUACAAUCAGUUCUAAUCUAAAGGCAUCAAGAUCUCUUCAAUCGUACGCUCAGUCAAUUGUACCUAUCUGUUUCAUCAUAAAGGCAUCAAACAACCCAAUCCCUCACUCAUGAACGCGAAUGGGUUUUCUUCUAUGGACCAGAAGAACCCAGAUCACUUCAAUCAUUUCUUACCUUACAAAAGGAAUCGCUCUAACUCUUUUCCCACUAAGAAAUUUCACAGUUCAUCCAACCAGAUGCUGAAGAUGAAAGAAGACGCCGAACAGGUUCAAAGGAAAAUUUCUGUUAGAUGGAUACAUACACAAAAAAAAUGACAGUAUGACUCUAGGGUUUAGGCCAAGUAUUCUAUUUAUAUUCAAAACACCAACCAUUGAUCUGAGAUGAAUCCAAUAGUCCAAAGCAACCGACGCUCUCUCCAUUCAAGCGGCAACCACAAUCGCACUUCAAGAUAUACGAGUUAUCUGUUUGGUAUUGGGCCUGGGUUAUCGGUCAUCUGAAUGAAGUUAUUGGACAAUUGUUAAAUCUAGCUGGGCUAAAGGCCAUUUC
rnacentral:lncRNA from 1 species